UGAAACAGGCCCCAGUCAUCAGCCAAACUGUGACCUGAAAUAUUUUCAAUCUAUCAGCUUUUAUGUUACAGAAAUAAAUUCUACAGAGAAUGCUGCUUUUGAAGCCAUCAACCAAUACUGUGAGUAAAUAUUAUUUUAUACGGAUAUUUUACAUGAUAAACGGUUGUUUUAAAUCAUACAUUUCUGCUUUAUCUCGUAGUGUGUCCUCGAUCCAAUGUUGAUGACCAAAGGCAAGAAGCCCAGUUUCAAACAAAAGGCAAAAAAUUUAUACGAACGUACAGGAUCAGCAUAAUACGACGAUGAAGAUAAAUCUCAUUUAGUUCCUCGAUCGCCGGAUACCAGCCUGCUAGGACCUGCUGAAAGUAGUUUUGAAAUACAUCAGCGUCACCGGUUACAAGCCCAUGUGGACCUACUCAAAGCAGUAUUGAGACCCAUCAUCCCCCUAGCACACAAAUCUGGACUGAUGACGGAGAAUCCAGCGAUGGCUAUGCUUCAACGCUAGCGUAGUCCUGGAUAUACCCCACACAUCUUUAGAAGAAGAAGAGCCGGAAAAGGGUGUCUGGAGACGGAGACCUCAUUUUUCAACAACAUGCUGCUCAGUGUACACAAAGAGGAUCCAACAUUGAUGACGAACCACACUUUGAUCAACUAAUUCUGCAGUAUCUGGAGCGAAACAAGGUAAAAAUUAAUCAGAUAUCCGAGUAUGUUUUACAUCAGCAAAGAGACAUAGAUGAACAACGGCAGGUUACAAAUGAGAAACUGACUUAAGUACAGAAUUUACUGAACAAAGCUAAACGCGAUCGUCAUAUUUUGAGUUCAAUACUCUGUUCUAUUAAAAAUGCUUUGGUACAUAAAUGAUUCCUGAAUAAUAAGGGUGUCUUUUAUUUGCUCAUUACUAGAUUUUUAUCCAUGUUAGAUAACCUUUUUUAGUUAUUCGUUUUGAUCAACUGUAAGUAUGUGU